CCAAGAGAAGAAGAAGAAGCAGAAGCAGAAGAAGAAGAGGAAGAAGAAGAAGAAGAAGAAGAAGAAGAGCUAAAUUAUAUAAUAACAGAGAAGAAGAGGAUACCCUGGGUUGACGCUAACCAAUCCGUCGUUAGCCUUGAGCUAACUCCACCGCCCCACAGAGGGAUGUACCUGGAGAGCAAACAGGAAGUGAUGAACUGAGAGUACAGCUGCUCUGCCUGUGGGAAGUUCUUCUGGUGGAACUCGGAGUUUCCAUGUUCCAGCGUCACUGGGAUGUUUUCCUCCAUCUGCAGGUCUGCGUUUGUUACUUCGGGUUUCCGCAUACACGGACGUGACGUCACGGAAAAAAGCACCCAAUCGCCGUGCAGAGCGACGAGAGAAGGCGGGACUUAGGUUGAAACCAGGUUAAAAACGUGUUUCAAAGUUCCCACAACAGUUUACACCAUUUUAUAUUAUGCUAUUUUAAUUUUAUUACUUUACACUUUUUAGAAUUUGAAGGAGAAACAAAAUGCAAAAUUAUAAAAACAUAACAUCAUUAAUCAUUGAGAGCAGAUCGGAAGAGGGGCCUAUAUAUUGUUAUUAUUAAUAAAAUCUAGACUGAUAACACAAAAAUUCCAUCAGAGCGAAUUGUUCUCAACAUUAUUAUCUAAACUGAAUAAUUAUAAUCUUAAUAUUACUUGAAAUGAUGUCUCGAUUAAGCCGUGUUAAUUAUCCUCCUACGUAUCCAUCUAUUUACUGAAGGUAAGUAUAAUCUCUUAACAGCAGUUGGCAGACUAGAUAUAGAAUCUCAUUAAAACAAGGCAGCGAAUGCAUGUGAAUAUACACUGAAGUUUAUGAUAACAAAUAGUAAAGGAGCAAUGAAUAUUAAGUCAUGGUACAUAACAGAAACAUAACACUUUACAUACUGUCCCUGUUUAUUUAUCUGUAAUGUUAUCUCGAUAAAGUCCAGCUCACUCAAACAACUGGAACGAACUCAAACAUAUGUCCACACCAGUCUCAGUGGACAGUGUGGACACUUUCUGCAGUAAAUAAAUACUCAACAAUAAGCAAACUGCUGAGAGAUUCUCAGACCAUCUCCCGGGUGAAGAUGUCAAACAUCACGGCGCCGUGCACUUCCCAUCUCUGCGCCCCAUUUAUCUCCAGACAGUGUGAACGAGCUGAAACGGAUCAAACAGAGACCAGUUUGACCCAGAGGAAGGACGGCUGUUGACACUAGUGAGAAAAUGGCAAUAACAUACAACCUGUGGAAAUGUGGGUUAACCACUGAGCGUUAUUACACAAUAACACACACACUGAGAGUGUGUAGAAGUAGUAGAGCACAUUUAGGAAUCCAUUCAAUUAAAAUUCAGUGACGAUAAGAUCUUCAUUGCAGAUAAACCAGGUAGGAUGAUGCAAAGAUUUCUAAAUUCACUCUUCACUGUUUACAGAAAGCUCUACACAGAAUGUCCUGCAUGCAAUCACUGAAAAAGUGUCAGUAUGUUGUGGAAUUGUUUUUUAAGGAGGACUCACUCCAGUGUUUUUAAAUCCGGAUAAACACCUUCAAACUGUCUGUGAAAGGAUUUAGGGGGAAACAUGUGCAUAUGAGGUAAAGAUUAGUGGCUCGAGGCUGGUGCAUCUUCUCAGGCUCUAAAUGUUGCUGUUGGCUGAGAGAAUUAGCAGAAAGAAUCAAAGUCCACUUCAGUCUGGCAGAACCAGGAAAGACGUUCAUGAAAUCAGGGGACGGAUGUACUUUCUUUACCAUUGUGAGAUAGGAUGGGUUUCCACAUUUUCAUUUAUUCCUCAACAAUAUCAGGCAUGUUUAGAAACUCAUAAACUGAUAUUUAUGAGUGUGUGAGUGUGUUUUGUGUAAAUCCAAAUCUGGAUCAAGUGAAUUUAAAAAUUGGUUUCAUUAGGGGACUGCUGGGCCAAAAAAACCAAUGACAUUUUCUCAGCUUACUGAUAUUUGUAGGACUGUUCAUUGUAAGGAUACAGAAUAACGCAUUUAAAUAUACAGUAUGUCCCUACUAAACAAAUGUAUAAAUCAAAGCAGGUAAACCAUUAAAAACAAAUAUUAUCGAGGAAUAAAGUUCAUCCACAUCUUCUGUAACUUCAGCAGGGACACACUGCACCGGACUUCAUGUAUCUUUCCAACUUCUCGAAGGUGUGCGAGUCCCAUUCAUCUUCUUCCACUGAAACACUGGUGGGCUCACCUCUGUGUGUGUGUGUGUGUAUGAGUGUGGUAACCAUGAAAGCCAGAGCAGAGAGCAAACAAACAUAAAACAGCUGUGUGCUGAGAGGAAGGACGGAGAAGAUCCAAACCAGACUCAAGGUAAACGUUGGCGUGUUGACUCUCCGCCUCAGACAGAGACGCUCUGUUGUCAGUUCUGUUCCAGGCAGACCAGCCAGCGCAUUCCACAGGAAACACCACCAGGGCCUGUCUGUUGUUUUUUAGACACCGCUGAGGGUUUUAAAAAGACACGAUGGUUAUAACCAGGCACAACAACGUAUGGUGGUGUUACAAAAAAUCGAAUUAACAGCUUUGUCAUUGCUACAAUUCAGAUUUGAAUUCCAGCUGUAUUUUAUUUAUUGAGAUGUGUUUCUCUGAGUAAAAAGGGGUCAGAGGUCACAAAGUGAUUUCCCCCUGACCCCAUAUAUCAAACAGUUCCAAGGUUUUUUAAGGGGUUGGGGUGAAUUAUGGCAGGUUGUUAAUAGAAAUGCCAAAGCUGCAGCCAUAUUUACUUUUCCAUAUUGACACAGAAAUACAUACAUGUCCCAUGAAUCUAUCACAGAGGCUGAUACAAGGCCUCAUUUAUCUUCACACAUACAGGUACUUCUGAUUCUCACACAUUAUUUACAGAUCCUGUUGAAACCUGAUCUUCGGUGAGUCACUGAAACCAAUUUUUUUGGAAAGAUACUUUUGUAUAUCAUACGUCUUUUGUUUAUUUUAUCAGAUGGAAUUUAUAAGACUCAAAUGGUCCAAGCUUUAUACAUACUCAAAAUAUUGAUUAAAAAUGUUUUUUAUGAGUUAAAUGUUUAUGCUUAAUCUAUUUCUCUGUAUUUAGAAUUGGUAGUUGAUGUAUUGAAAUGUAAAGAGCACAUAGGAAGGCAAUAUUACUUAAAAUGCUGUGUACAGUUUAAAGCUAUAUUCCUUAGAGAUAUUUUUUAUUUCAUUGUUUAUUGUCAACAUUUUUAAGCAUUUGCCUUUUAUUGUGUCUCUCCUUGCCUCUAUAUAUAAUCAAUUUCCACCCAAACUGAAAUAAUUUAAUAUUGACAGGCUGAUAAGAUUCACAUGGAAAGAUUCAUACGUAUAAUCCAAUGUUUUGAUAAUUUUAUUGUCCAAUUUGUCAAUUUUAUUACAUUUAUAGAUCUCAUAGCGUUCAUACAACAUAUAUAUGUUUGUUAUAAAGUAAAUAUGUAAAAAUACAUAAAUGUAAGAAACUUUUCUGCCUCUGAGUAAACUGUAAUUUUAAUCACAAUUAGACAUUUCACCAAAUAACCUCUAUGUACAAUAUGCACAAACAGGACGUACGACUUACAUGAUACAGUACAGGAGGACAAAUUAAUGUAAUAUUCGUUUUCUUGGGUUUUUUAGCAUCACAGCAUGUUCAUACUGGUGUUAAGAGAAAAUAUGUUGCUUUAACAGCAGUUUCAAUACAUUUCAUUAACACUUCAUAAAGCAUCCCAGAUCAGUUGUGGAUAUUGUUGCUCCGUGGUCGACAGCAGUACCACGAGGGAAGCUUGAGGGAUCCUGGUUUGUGAAUCCCAGCUUCACUCGACCUGUGGUUGUUGUUGUUACGGGAUGGUGGACGACAGGAAGCAGAAGUCGGGGCUGAUCUGUGGCUCUGACAGGAAACAACCCGGUUAGCUGCCAUCGCACAAAGGAAAUCACCCAGAGCUUCAUGCACGGCCCACCGCGUUCUCCAGAUGCUCAAUUCUCCCAGACACAUCCGCCAGUGAGGAAGGAUAUGCUUGGCUGUGAGCAGCUGGAUGGCCGCCUGCGUCUGCUUCUGGAAGGCCAGUCUGGACUCGCAUUUACAGGGAUCCACCGCCACCACCUUCACCUUCAUCUCUUCCCCGGGAGAAAGGAGGGGUUCACAUCGGUGUAACAGAUCACGCAGAGAGAAACAAAUAAAUAUAUGAUACCACCCACACCCACUUCCUACUGGGACGAGGAUCAAGUACACACCGCAGCCAUAACGAACACAGACACACAUUUUCCUAAGAGAAUCAACCAUCAUUUACAGAAUCCACUGUCGCAGCAAAAAUUAAGUUGUAGUUCUCUGAACAGUGAAUAAUAGAAUCAGGGGUUAGUCACGGACUCCACUAACAUGGAGGAGGCAGGGUUUAUGACUCAUACUGCAGCCAGCCACCGGGGGGCGAUCAAGAGGAUUUGGCUUCAAUUUCAGGGCGCUGUCAUAUCGUCCAUGUUUAUAUACAGAAUCCACACAGGAAGCUCUUACCUUUCGGGGAACACGUUUUCAUGUCAGCGUUCAGGAUGAAACUGGCGCGGCA